AGGACUAACGCUGGCGGCGUGCCUAACACAUGCAAGUCGAACGAGAGUAGCAAUACUCUAGUGGCAGACGGGUGAGUAACACGUGGUCAACCUACCUCUAUGUGGGGGAUAACUAGCCGAAAGGUUAGCUAAUACCGCAUACGAUCGUCGAGCGGCAUCGCUUGACGAUGAAAGGAGCAAUCCGCAGAGAGACGGGACCGCGUCCCAUUAGCUAGUUGGUGGGGUAAAGGCCUACCAAGGCGACGAUGGGUAGCUGGCUUGAGAGAGCGACCAGCCACACUGGGACUGAGACACGGCCCAGACUCCUACGGGAGGCAGCAGUGAGGAAUUUUCCGCAAUGGGCGAAAGCCUGACGGAGCGACGCCGCGUGUGGGAGAAGGCCUUCGGGUCGUAACCACUGUCGAAGGGGAAGAUAUUGACGGUACCCUUGGAGGAAGCCCCGGCUAACUACGUGCCAGCAGCCGC
rnacentral:rRNA from 1 species